GCGGGCGUGGCGGAAUGGCAGACGCGCCGGACUUAGGAUCCGGUUCCGCAAGGAGUGGAGGUUCAAGUCCUCUCGCCCGCACCA
rnacentral:tRNA from 3 species